rnacentral:rRNA from 1 species
UACGUAGGGUGCGAGCGUUGUCCGGAAUACUGGGCGUAAAGAGCUCGUAGGUGGUUUGUCGCGUUGUCCGUGAAAACUCACAGCUUAACUGUGGGCGUGCGGGCGAUACGGGCAGACUGGAGUACUGCAGGGGAGACUGGAAUUCCUGGUGUAGCGGUGGAAUGCGCAGAUAUCAGGAGGAACACCGGUGGCGAAGGCGGGUCUCUGGGCAGUAACUGACGCUGAGGAGCGAAAGCGUGGGGAGCGAACAGG